AGGAAAAACUAAGAGAAAUAAAGGAGCUGGAAGCAAGUCUGAACUUUCCUCUAGGUAAAUGGGGCCCACUUGGGUGGAAAAUAUCUCUCUAUAAGUGGGCAACAGCUCUCUCUCCCCUCAAACUUGCCCAUACGUACUCCUCACCCACUCCACCACAUAAGGCUUUUUGAGGAAGCAAGUUGGAGUUGGCUGUCUCUCUCACUCUCUCUCUUAGGCUCCCUUUUUCCCCUUUGGAUCCCUACCUCUGGGAGCAAGAUCAAGCAAGGAAGCAGCAGUUUUUCCUCUCUUCUCCAAGCCAUUUUCCGUCGUUUCCUCCUUCAACUGGCGGUCACCAACCUCAGCAAAGGACCUUAGUGAACGCCGAUCCGUCGAUCCCGGAGGCCGUGGGCGAUCGUGAGGCGUCCCACCUUUCUGAUUCAGGGCAGCAAGG